CAGAAAGUAGUUUUAUAAUGAUAAUUUUGGAGAUUAUAGAUGAUUGAAAAGUCCUUUCUGA
rnacentral:tRNA from 1 species